GGAGAGGAGAGGAGAGGAGAGGAGAGGAGAGGAGAGGAGAGGAGAGGAGAGGAGAGGAGAGGAGAGGAGAGGAGAGGAGAGGAGAGGAGAGGUCUCUCUUCCAUGUUCACUCACUGCAGGAUGAGCUGUGCCUGCUCUUGAGCUCAGUCUGGAUGGACAGGGUGGCUCUGUCAUGGAAUCAUGGAAUGGUUUGGGUUGGGACCUCAAACUCCACCCCAUGUCAUAGUCAGGGACGCCUCCCAAGAUCGGAAGAGGGGACCUCAAACUCCACCCCAUGUCAUAGUCAGGGACGCCUGCCACUAGCCCAGGUUGCCCAGGGCCCAACCAGACAGCCAAUCUUUGGUGGCAGCAGUGGCCAGGACGGCUCUGAGGACCUGGGACAUUGGGCUCAGCAGCAGAACCUCUGCCUUUCCAAUUUCAGUUUUGCUGGAGGUUCCAGGGGCUGGAGGGGGUUUUGCUGGAGACAGGGCACGAGGCUUUCAGGUUUCUCCCUGCCCUGCUGCCCAGCUGGGGGAUCAGCCCAAGGACAGGGGGCUCCAGGCUCCACCUAAUUCAUGGCUUGUCUUCACUUCCUUCUGUCUUCACUCAGAGUCAGGAUUAAAAACAUGAGGGAGAUGAAUUUUCUCGUG
rnacentral:lncRNA from 12 species